rnacentral:lncRNA from 1 species
UGGUGGUGCUGGUGUUGCCUUUGGUCCCAUUUAGCGUUUAUAAAGUAGUGCCAAGCAAGGACAGCAUAAAUUGGCAAACAGAGGAGAAUGGAGUAAAGAGGAGCCCUUUUAGGAAAAAUUGAGUGGCAUUCCAUCCAAUAGGCAAGUUUGCACUUCUCCUCUUUGGGACGUGCCCAGGAACACGAUGGCAAGAGCAAUGGCUCCUCUGUGGCCCUUCAUCCCAGUGGCUGCCUCAGAAAAAUCCAAGAGGGAAGUUAAUUUCUGCAUUAAGUGUAUAGGAAGGUUUCUUCCAGGUACCUGGAGAGGAUAAUACAGAAAUAAAGAAAGAAUUCUGUCUCCAAGAUGCGUGAUUGCUGUAAAAAUGGAAUUACAGGUAUGGUUUGCGUCCACGGAGAUGGGUUGAUUUAUUUAUCUUCAUAAUGAGAUUUCUCCAUUGGGCACUUAGGCCAUCAGCUUGCUUGAAAUAAGCAUCUGACAAAAAGCCCACCAACUGGCUUUGAACUUAAGCAGAUUGGGGUGAGCUAAAGACUAUGUCCUGCUAGGAGCCAUCAAGUCCUGAACAGUCUGAGAUCUCCCAAAGAUGCUAAGUUUCUCUUAUUUUCAUCCUUACAGUGAUAGUUGUAAAGAAUCGUAGCCAUAGAUACACCUCAUCCCAGGAAUUCUGCUCUCGAUCAUCUCCUCAAGAAACUAUUACAGAAAUAUCACAAGGAAGUGAGGAUGCACAGAAUCAAAAAUUAAAGAGAAGUGUAUGGUACCAUGAGGCAAAUGAUUAUAUCUCCUCCUGUGCAUGCUGGACUCCUGAUCUUGAUCUCUCGCAAAAUAUAAUUACUCUAAGGAAUAGAUAUCAUCUUCAUGUUUACAGUUCCUCAGAUCUACAGCAGACCUGAUGUAUUAGAAUCCAUGUAAGUGGAUGGCCAUGGUUUCUGGUUGGGGCCACCAUCUUUAGGAGUUGGGUGGGAAAUCCUCUCCCCUAACAGAUAGUACUAAUAGGCUGAUCAAUUGGGUUAUUCAUCCAAAUCCCUCUUUGGUGAGGUUGACAUUGCCCCUUUUGAUAAGUUUCCUUUUUGGCUUCUCCUAACACGUUUGGGAUGAUGAAUUUUUAUCCUGUAACUCCAGCAUGUUUGAUGACAUU